rnacentral:rRNA from 1 species
UGAGGAACAUGACUUUCGGUGGGGGAGUAGCCGGCCCAACGGCCGGGUAAUACCGCGUACGACCUUUCGGGGACAUCCUCGAUUGGUGAAAGCAGCAAUGCGCCGAAAGAGUGCCUCGCGACCUAUCAGCUAGUUGGGUGGGGUAACGGCCCACCAAGGCGACGACGGGUAGCUGGUCUGAGAGGAUGGCCAGCCACAGUUGGGACUGAGAUACCGGCCCAGACUCCGUACGGGGAGGCAG